rnacentral:rRNA from 1 species
GACGAACGCUGGCGGCGUGCUUAACACAUGCAAGUCGAACGGAAAGGCCCUGCUUUUGUGGGGUGCUCGAGUGGCGAACGGGUGAGUAACACGUGAGUAACCUGCCCUUGACUUUGGGAUAACUUCAGGAAACUGGGGCUAAUACCGGAUAGGAGCUCCUGCUGCAUGGUGGGGGUUGGAAAGUUUCGGCGGUUGGGGAUGGACUCGCGGCUUAUCAGCUUGUUGGUGGGGUAGUGGCUUACCAAGGCUUUGACGGGUAGCCGGCCUGAGAGGGUGACCGGCCACAUGGGGACUAAGAUACGGCCCAGACGCCUACGGGGGACAGCAGUGGGGAAUAUGGCACAAUGGGCGGAAGCCUGAGGCAGCAACGCCGCGUGCGGGAUGACGGCCUUCGGGUUGUAAACCGCUUUCGCCUGUGACGAAGCGUGAGUGACGGUAAUGGGUAAAGAAGCACCGGCUAACUACGUG